AUCGUUCAAUCUGCAAAAGCAGAUCGGAAGUAGGUUUUAACCGAAGGAACGCGGA
rnacentral:ncRNA from 10 species